GCAAUUUUUUUCUUUUUUUCCUUUUUUUCCUUCUCUUUUCCUUAUAACU
rnacentral:ribozyme from 12 species